rnacentral:ncRNA from 2 species
AGCUCAUCCAGAGGGACUGAGGGAACGGCCCGUCGAAGUCCCGGCAACCUUCUCGUACGGCCGACCAGCAGUGGUCUUCCGGCGGGACAGGUGCCAAUUCCGUCCUGUGGCGCGCCCGCGUCACGGGGAAGAUGAGGA